GGCAGUGGGAGGCCAUGAGAGCCGGAAUUCUCACGAGCAGCAGCGGCCCUGUGGCCCUCAGCAGAGGGACUGACUGGAAGCAGAUGUGGCACAAGUCUCCCCAUGCGGCUUCACUGUUGACUCUCAGGACAUCUACCCUGGGGACUUCCCGCACCAAGAAGACCCUGAGUCACAUGCUUGCUGCUGUCCCCAUCUAUGAUGGCUGUAAAUUCCAUUUGCCUGCUGCUGUCCAUGAAUGGAAGUCUACCUGGGACCCUCUCCUGACCUGGAGACCCACACAUCCAAAUGCCUACUUGGCAGCUCCCGUGGAUGUUUCGUGAUCAGCAUUCCCAACAGUGAAAUCCUGAAUGCUCUUCCCCAAAUCCACUCCACACACGGCCUUCCCUAUCCCUUGUGGUGGCAACUGAGUCCACUGUGGGUCCAUGGGCCCCCCUUUCUUUGACUCCCCAGCUCCAGUCCCCUAGCAAGACCAGCUGGAUCUGCUCUUUGGAUUGCCAGGAUCUGCCCACGUCUCAGGGCCCUCACUGCCUGGCCCACACAUGAUGCUCAAAGACACUCUCACACAUGUCCAAAUAUUUAAAAGUUAUACAUCAAACCCACAAACUUUAAUUUGAU
rnacentral:lncRNA from 1 species